GACGAACGCUGGCGGCGUGCCUAAUACAUGCAAGUUGAGCGCUGAAGGUUGGUACUUGUACCAACUGGAUGAGCAGCGAACGGGUGAGUAACGCGUGGGGAAUCUGCCUUUGAGCGGGGGACAACAUUUGGAAACGAAUGCUAAUACCGCAUAAAAACUUUAAACACAAGUUUUAAGUUUGAAAGAUGCAAUUGCAUCACUCAAAGAUGAUCCCGCGUUGUAUUAGCUAGUUGGUGAGGUAAAGGCUCACCAAGGCGAUGAUACAUAGCCGACCUGAGAGGGUGAUCGGGCAAAUUGGGACUGGGACACGGCCCAAACUCCUACGGGAAGCAGCAGUAGGGGAUCUUCGGCAAUGGACGAAAGUCUGACCGAGCAACGCCGCGUGAGUGAAGAAGGUUUUCGGAUCGUAAAACUCUGUUGGUAGAGAAGAACGUUUGUGAGAGUGGAAAGCUCAUCAAGUGACGGUAACUACCCAGAAAGGGACGGCUAACUACGUG
rnacentral:rRNA from 1 species